rnacentral:rRNA from 1 species
CAAUAGCGUAUAUUAAUGUUGUUGCAGUUAAAACGCUCGUAGUUGGAUCUUGGAGAAGUUUUCGGCGCUCUGUCCACCUUGAAGGUGAGUACGGACGGCGAGUCUCUAUAGUUGGUAGUGACGUACAUUGGGCCUUAGUUGGUUCCGGUGUCUGGUGGAGGGAAACCGAAGCCGGGGUCAGGGAGGUGAGGAAGGAUGGGGUUCGCGCCUCAUUCGUCAGCGCAGCUCGGACAAUGUUUUACCUAGUUUACUUUGAAAAAUUAGAGUGUUUAAAGCAGAGCUUAGGCUCAUUGAAUACAUUAGCAUGGGAUAAUAGAAAACGAGAGUCGUCUUAUUUUGUUGGUUUUUUGGGAUGAUUUUAAUGAUUAAAAGGGAUAGUCGGGUGGUUGGUAUUGAAACGUCAGAGGUGAAAUUCUUGGAUUGUUUCAAGACCAACUUCUGCGAAAGCGAUCCACUAGGAUGUUUUCAUUAAUCAAGAACGAAAGUUGGGGGAUCGAAGACGAUUAGAUACCGU